rnacentral:misc_RNA from 1 species
GGCGCGAAUUCUCUGCGUAGUAGGUUCCAGUUGUUCUUGAUUCUGGUAACGUGUGCUAAAGUACGUUCUGUUUACACGUGAUUUUGCACUGGAGGCGGUAUCACUCGGGAACUGAGCUUUCGUUUUCAAGCAGGGAAUAAUGAAUGAAAUUUUCCGUUAUAUAGAUGCACAUCAGAAGGACUACAUUGAUAACUUAAGACAAGCUGUGGGCAUAAAAAGUGUUUCAGCAUGGCCGGAGGUUCGUGGGGAAAUAUUAAAAAUGGUUCAAUGGGUAGCCAAGUAUUUGGAAAAUGAAGGGGCAGAAGUCACAUUGGUUGACGUUGGAAAAGAAACUUUACCUGAUGGCAGUACUAUACCUUUACCUCCAGUACUCUUAGGUACUUUAGGAAAGGAUCCAAAAAAGAAAACAAUUUGUGCAUAUGGCCAUCUUGAUGUACAACCUGCUGCAAAGGAAGAUGGUUGGAAUACUGACCCAUUUGUUUUAACGGAAAAGGAUGGUAAACUUUAUGGAAGAGGAGCAACUGAUGAUAAAGGUCCUGUUCUUGCAUGGCUUCAUGCAAUUUCUGCAUUCAGGGAAACUAAAAAAGAGUUGCCUUGCAAUUUAAAAUUUUGUUUUGAAGGUAUGGAAGAAUCUGGCUCUGAAGGCUUAGAUGAAUUAGUUUUUGCUGAGAAAGAUAAAUUUUUUAAAGAUGUGGAUUAUGUGUGUAUAUCUGAUAAUUAUUGGCUAGGAAAGAAAAAACCAUGCAUUACAUAUGGUUUAAGAGGAGCAUGCUACUUUUUUAUCGAGGUUGAAUGUGCUGCUAAGGAUUUGCAUUCUGGUGUGUUUGGUGGCUCAGUGCAUGAAGCUGUGGCUGAUGUGAUUGCAUUAAUGAACUCGUUAAUUGAUGCAAGAGGCAAUAUAUUGAUUCCUGGUAUAAUGGAUGAUGUUGCUCCUGUCACCCCAGAAGAAGAAAAAUUAUAUGAGAGCAUUGACUUUAAUCCGGAAGAAUUUAGAUGUGAUAUUGGCUGCAACAAAUUAGUACGCUCAGAUGCAAAGAAAAUUCUUAUGAGAAGAUGGCGUUAUCCUAGUGUAUCCUUACAUGGAAUUGAAGGUGCAUUCAAUGGACCAGGAGCUAAGACUGUGAUUCCAGGAAAAGUCACAGGAAAGUUCUCAAUUCGUAUUGUACCUAAUCAGGAACCUGAAAAAAUUGAGAAAUUAAUUAUUGAUCAUUUAAAUAAAGUUCAUGAAACUAGAGGCUCACCUAAUAAAUUACAUAUAUGGAGUAGAGCCAGAUCUAAUAAGAGAAGGCGGAAGUAUUCCUGUAACAUUAACAUUUCAAGAAGCAACUGGCAAGAAUGUUAUACUUUUAGGCAUUGGUUGUAGUGAUGAUGGUGCACAUUCCCAGAAUGAAAAGAUUGACAUUUUUAAUUAUAUUUAUGGAAUCAAAUUAUUGGCUGCUUAUAUACAUGAAGUCUCACAGUUGUAGAAGUCAAGCAUCUACUUGGAAAAAUUUUGUACUAGAUACAUAAUUGAAAUAUUUUUAAAAUAAAAUUGGAAACUGACAGAUCAUGGAUAAUAAAUGUUAAUUAUUUUGA